rnacentral:lncRNA from 1 species
AUUAAGUCACAACUUGAAUGUUACAGCCCCUGAGUGAACACAAUCUUAAAAAAAAACUUCCUACAAAGCCUCUCCCUUCUCUUCUUUGUCAGAAAGUUGCUUCAGCCUAAAUAGAAGCCAUUUCCCUUUUCUUUUUAAAGGAGAGGGUCACCAGGUGCCCCCUGGGGUCCUCUGCCAGCUUCACCCUCCAGUACCAGCACUAAUAAAGGCCACACCCCUGUGUUGGUGGCCAUAUUCCACGCGCUGAUUUAAUGCUGGCUUCACGGCUGCUAUCAGAGAGAAGUGUGCUCCCAGCCAGGACUGCAAGGGCGUCUGAAGACACGGUGAACAUUUGAAAUUAAAAACGUGCAAGUCCAGAGGAUGCUGCAGACACUCGGAACACCAGCUUCACCCACCUCGUCUCCCAUCUUCUCAGUGACCCUCACGGUAGCCAUCAUCACCCACACGUGACACGGGGACGCGGAGAGACAGGAAGAUGGGUACCCAGGGAAGCUCGGCAGUGCUCAGGGAUGCCUGGUCAGAGCCAGCCUUUGACGGGACCUGUUAGAUGCUAAACAUC